rnacentral:rRNA from 1 species
UUUGAACGCUGGCGGCAGGCUUAACACAUGCAAGUCGAGCGGGGUGAUGGUGCUUGCACUAUCACUUAGCGGCGGACGGGUGAGUAAUGCUUAGGAAUCUGCCUAUUAGUGGGGGACAACAUUCCGAAAGGAAUGCUAAUACCCGCAUACGUCCUACGGGAGAAAGCAGGGGAUCUUCGGACCUUGCGCUAAUAGAUGAGCCUAAGUCGGAUUAGCUAGUUGGUGGGGUAAAGGCCUACCAAGGCGACGAUCUGUGGCGGGUCUGAGAGGAUGAUCCGCCACACCGGGACUGAGACACGGCCCAGACUCCUACGGGAGGCAGCAGUGGGGAAUAUUGGACAAUGGGGGGAACCCUGAUCCAGCCAUGCCGCGUGUGUGAAGAAGGCCUUAUGGUUGUAAAGCACUUUAAGCGAGGAGGAGGCUACUGAGACUAAUACUCUUGGAUAGUGGACGUUACUCGCAGAAUAAGCACCGGCUAACUCUGUGCCAGCCGCCGCUGUAA